rnacentral:rRNA from 1 species
AUGCAAGUCGAGGGGCAGACAUAAAAGUAGCAAUACGUUGGUGGCGACCGGCGCGACGGGUGAGUAACGCGUAUGCAACCUACCUAUCAGGAGGGGAAUAACCCGGCGAAAGUCGGACUAAUACCGCAGUAAAACAGGGGCACCGCAUGGUGAUAUUUGUUAAAGAAAUUCGCUGAUAGAUGGGCAUGCGUUCCAUUAGGUAGUUGGUGAGGUAACGGCUCACCAAGCCGACGAUGGAUAGGGGAACUGAGAGGUUGGUCCCCCACACUGGUACUGAGACACGGACCAGACUCCUACGGGAGGCAGCAGUGAGGAAUAUUGGUCAAUGGGCGGGAGCCUGAACCAGCCAAGUCGCGUGAAAGGAAGAAGGAUCUAUGGUUCGUAAACUUCUUUUGCAGGGGAAUAAAGUGCAGGACGUGUCCUGUUUUGUAUGUACCCUGAGAAUAAGGAUCGGCUAACUCCGUGCCAGCAGCCGC